rnacentral:rRNA from 1 species
CUAAAGAGUAACGGAGGAGUUUAUUAAGGUUAGCUAGGCGCGAAUGGAAACCGUGCCGAUAGUGUAAUGGCACAAGCUAGCUUAACUGUAAGACGUACAUGUCGAGCAGAUACGAAAGUAGAACAUAGUGAACCGACAUUUCGCAUUAGAUGCGGAUGAAGAUUAACGGAUAAAAGCUACUCUAGGGAUAACAGGCUAGUUCCGCCUAAGAGUUCAUAUCGACGGCGGAGUUCGGCACCUCGAUGUCGGCUCACCUUAUCCUGGUGGUGGAGAAGCUGCCAAGGGUUUAGCUGUUCGCUAAUUAAAAAGGUACGCGAGCUGGGUUCAAACCGUUAAGAUCAUAAACGAUUGUGAUUUUAACAGUUUGAACCGUCGAGGAAAGUAAAGAAAUCUCGUAUAUUUCUUUCAAUGUUUUAAUCUGAGAUUAAGACCGCUAUACACAGUUGUGUAUAUCACGGCGGCCCCGCCAAUAAAACGACGGGGAGAAUUUCACUUAUAUCGGUGAAGUCCUACUUUUAUAAAAGAGGAUAAUACCGAGGGAAGCGUAAGCACCCGUAGAGACUAAAUGUGAAAUAUUUUUUGAGAAAUCAAAAGAGAAAGUUAUAGUCCAAUCCCACAAGUAAUUGUGGUUCCCAUUUUUGUAUUUAAACGCGCAAAAAUGAAGAGACUAAAUCAUUUUUAGUAAAAAAUGAUCGUCCGAACUUUUGUUUACAAAAGUUUUAGGAAGUAAAAUAUAGAUGCGUGAGACAGGUUGGUCUCCUAUCUACUGCAGGCGUUGAUUCUUGAGAAGAUCUGCUCUUAGUACGAGAGGACCGGAGUGGACUGACCUCUGGUGUGUGGGCUCUACUGCCAAGUGGACUGCCCAGUAGCUAUGUCGGGAAUGGAUAAGUUCUGAAAGCAUCUAAGAACGAAGCCAACUUCAAGAUGAGGAAUCGUUUGAGAAACCUAAGAGAUGAUUAGGUUGAUAGGCACUAGGUGUACAGACAGUAAUGUCUUUAGCCGAGGUGUACUAAUCGUUCGAU